rnacentral:rRNA from 1 species
GACGAACGCUGGCGGCGUGCCUAAUACAUGCAAGUAGCACGCAGUUGCGAACGGGUGAGUAACGCGUAGGUAACUGCCUCAUAGCGGGGGAUAACUAUUGGAAACGCUAGCUAAUACCGCAUACUGUGAGAAGGACCUGCGGUGUAUUAGCUAGUUGGUGAGGUAAAGGCUCACCAAGGCGACGAUACAUAGCCGACCUGAGAGGGUGGUCGGACAAACUGGGAAUGGGACAAGGCCCAGGCUCCUACGGGGGGCAGCAUGAGGGGAUCUUCGGCAAUGGGCGGAAGUCUGACCGAGCAAAGCCGCGGGAGAGAAGAAGGUUUUCGGAUCGUAAAGCUAUGUUGUUAGUGGAGCGGUAACUAACCAGAAAGGGACGGCUAACUACGUGCCAGCAGCCGCGGUAAUUC